CUAUAUUGGUGGGAAAGCCACGACAAGAGAGUUUGGCGAGGAGACAGAUCAAAGUCCCACGCAGCUGAGUUCUCAAGUGAAUUUUUCCUAGUAGAGGCCAGCAUUUCUUUUCUGCAAUCACCCUUCAUUGAAGGUCUCAGCUCUCAUACCCUUGCCUUUUCUUGUCCUGGAGACCUGAGGCUCCUUGCAGGACCCUCACUUCCUAUACAGAAGACACCAUGGACACCCAUAGUAACGUGGGUGGUCCUCUGAGGCCAAUCAUGCGGGGUCCCUCAUACCUCCUGUCUAUUUUAAAAACUGGGUCUUCACUUUUCAAUUGUAAAGUGCCGUAUGAAAGUCCUUUUUGGGAAGUCUAUGCAAUGGAUAUGAUAUUGAGUGAUCAUGGUGGCCUCCACUGUCCCUCUGGUAAAGCAGACACCUGCUCCUUCCUUCCUUCCCUGGACUCUGCCUUGGCUUUAAGAACUGCCUUCUCUGUGAAGCAAGGGAUGCUGUCCUAACUCUUGAUUUUUCUUUCUGCCCUUAGGAUAUUUCUCCCUUCAGGCUGAGAAUUCUUUGGUCCUCUUCCAGUCCUAGGCUUUGGGAGACUGCCGCCAUUGUGGUUGGCACAGGAGUGUUGGGAGCUGCAGGCCUUUGGCUGUGCUGGGGGAGAAUUGGAAAACCAGGAUCAUCCCGUGAGCUGGAACCACUGAGGCUGCCAGAAGAGGAUCCAAUCCAAGGGCACAGCAGCCCUCCUGAUGAACACAGAGACUAAAUGAUCCCCACAGAUUUCCCAGCAGCUCUGGACAAAACCAUCAGAGGGUGCAGAUGACUGCUGGGGUGAAUGCAAAACUCUGUCAGGGGUGAUCAAGCAGUGGUGGGGCAAGCAUCCUCAGGGAUCAUGGGCCUCAGUGUCAUUCCAUGGGCCUUGGGUAGAUCAGAUGGCCUUCAUAUACUGGGAAAUGAGAUGCAGGAAAGUUUCCAUUUAAGGGAUGAGGGUCUGGGUCUCAAAACAGGGAUUUUCACCCUGGCUAUCCUAGAACUGAAAUUUACAGGCAUCUGCUUGUGCAUCCUGAGUGCCAGGAUUAAAUGUGUGUGCCAGGGUGCCUGGCUAGGGUUCACUCAUUUUUAUCAGUACAUGGUCCUUCUCCUCUGCACCAUGUCCUGAAAAUACAGAAUAAAUUCUUAAAUUAUC
rnacentral:sRNA from 1 species